AGUGAACGCUGGCGGUGUGCCUAAUACAUGCCAGUCGAACGACCACACAAUGAGCUUGCUCCUUUACCGGUAGCGGCUGACGGGUGGGUAACACAUAGAUCACCUUCUUCUUAUACUUGGAGGACUUCGGGAGGACGCAUAUGCUACCGGAUAAUAUAUUGUACCGCUUGGUUCAGUAGAUAAUCACGCCUUUCGCGUCACUUUUAGAUGGAUUCGCGCCGGAUUAGCUAGUUGGUAAGGUAACGGCUCACCAAGGCAACGAUGCGUAGCCGAUCUGAGAGGGUGAUCAGCCACACUGGAACUGAGACACGGUCCAGACUCCUACGGGAGGCAGCAGUAGGGAAUCUUCGGCAAUGGGCGAAAGCUUGACGCAGCCACGCCGCGUGAGUGAAGAAGGUCUUCGGAUUGUAAAACUCUGUUGUUAGGGAAGAAAAAAUGUGUAAUUAUCCACCGCUGUCUUGACGGUACCCAAAGAGAAAGCCACGGCUAACUUCGUG
rnacentral:rRNA from 1 species